GACGAACGCUGGCGGCGUGCUUAACACAUGCAAGUCGAACGGAAAGGCCCUGCUUUUGUGGGGUGCUCGAGUGGCGAACGGGUGAGUAACACGUGAGUAACCUGCCCUUGACUUUGGGAUAACUUCAGGAAACUGGGGCUAAUACCGGAUAGGAGCUCCGGCUGCAUGGUGGGGGUUGGAAAGUUUCGGCGGUUGGGGAUGGACUCGCGGCUUAUCAGCUUGUUGGUGGGGUAGUGGCUUACCAAGGCUUUGACGGGUAGCCGGCCUGAGAGGGUGACCGGCCACAUUGGGACUGAGAUACGGCCCAGACUCCUACGGGAGGCAGCAGUGGGGAAUAUUGCACAAUGGGCGGAAGCCUGAUGCAGCAACGCCGCGUGCGGGAUGACGGCCUUCGGGUUGAAAACCGCUUUCGCCUGUGACGAAGCGUGAGUGACGGUAAUGGGUAAAGAAGCACCGGCUAACUACGUG
rnacentral:rRNA from 1 species